UACAGAGGUCCCAAGCGUUGUUCGGAUUCACUGGGCGUAAAGGGUGCGUAGGUGGCUGAGUAAGUCUGAUGUGAAAUCUCCGGGCUUAACCCGGAAACUGCAUUGGAAACUGCAUGGCUAGAGGGUUGGAGGGGGGACUGGAAUACUUGGUGUAGCAGUGAAAUGCGUAGAUAUCAAGUGGAACACCAGUGGCGAAGGCGAGUCCCUGGACAACUCCUGACACUGAGGCACGAAAGCUAGGGGAGCAAACAGG
rnacentral:rRNA from 1 species